CCACCGCUGGCGAACAUUGGUGCGGUAAAUUGCAAACACAAAUGCUGCGCAGAAAAGACAAAUGUGUAACUUCACAACAUUCGUUCGGACGACAAUGUCGAAAGGCGUAUCAAGAAGUUCUUCAUGCGAUUCCAAGACGCUCCUAAGGUACUGGGAAUGUGGGGAGUGCAGCAGCAUCAGUGCAGCACCGAUGGUCGGAUGCGACGGCUGCGAUAAAUUGUACCACUUCCGUUGUGCGGGACUGACUAAGGAGCCAGAAACACCGACAUGGCGAUGCAGGUGGUACUGCCUGGUGAGGCCGCGGUCUCCGGAAUCGCCUGCAGACGAAGUCACCUGGCGUCCCUCUGCACAUCACUUGCAGCAGUGAGGCCUGCUGACAGCGUCUGGCAGUGUCGGCAACGUGCCAGACAGCUAUCUGGAGUCCUGCUCACCGCAGGUCGCCGACAGGAGGGGCGACGCAUCUUCUCCGAGGUCGCCUCAGCAGCAGUGAGACCCCACUGGCCGUCGUCUUAGGCUUCAACUAGAUUGCGAACAACCUAUGCUGAGACAACGCCCAUGACGUGUGAUCCGGUACCGCUACCGCACUGCGUGCCUGUGCCCGCCGUGAGCCGCUAGUGCAUGGGUUCGACCAUGGGAAUAUGUGUUUAUGUUGCUUUUACUAUUGUUUAUACGUUGAAGUGACGAAUUGUUUAUUUUUCGCAAGCCUCCGCUGUCCGGUUGCCUGCAGCUCCAUGCAACGCCAGCUGUACUGUUGUUUUAAUGUUGUCUCUCCGCUCAGCUGUACCGUUGCCUCUCCGCUCAUAACAACCUAUGCUGAGACAACGCCCAUGACGUGUGAUCCGGUACCGCUACCGCACUGCUGCCUCUGCCCGCUGUGAGCCGCUAGUGCAUGGGUUCGACCAUGAGAAUAUGUGUUUAUGUUGCUUUUUUAUACUAUUGUUUAUACGUUGAAGUGACGAAUUGUUUAUUUUUCGCAAGCCUCCGCUGUCCGGUUGCCUGCAGCUCCAUGCAACGCCAGCUGUACUGUUGUUUUAAUGUUGUCUCUCCGCUCAGCUGUACUGUUGCCUCUCCGCUCAUAUAUGACACCCUCUAUAUGAAUGGCACUACUGAUUGUCACACCCACUGUCCGUAUUGUCCGUAGUGGAGUCUAUGCCCAUGUUAAUACAGCGUGCAUAAUCCA